CAUAUGAAGAAGGAUGUGUUUGCUUCCCCUUCCACCAUGAUGGUGCAUUUCCUGAGGCCUCCCCAUCCUUGCUGAAUUGAGAUGGUACGUCUCUCCUUCAUGUGCUGCCUGGGGUUGAGGAGAAGUGGCAUAGGGAUACAAGCCUCCUGGGUGAUGAGAAAGACAGAGAAGCAUUUUUCAUAGAGAGUUGCCAGGAUUGCUCAGCAUCCAGAUCAACCAUGAAAGGCACCAGGAGAAUGAACAUCUGCAUUUUUCUUGUCCAUGAUUCUUCUACAUAAUGCUACUGAAGCGAAGAUAAUCUUUAAUUGUAGAAACAAGAAGAGAAGCAAAUAUAUUACUAGUAUCCAGAAGCUCCUUCACAGUUUUCAGAUAAUGCUAAUGAGCUAGUUCCUGGUUUGUAUCACAAACUUCUCCCAAAUUCUUCCCCUAAACAUUCCUUCAUGGUGGAGCUAAUUAGACUAUUGCAGCUCCACCGUUCAUUACUGCUUGUAUUUUGUAAAAAUUAGUGCAUAUGUCAUGGGCCUAGGGAUACAUCCAUUGCAGGGAAAUGGGAGUAGGGCAUUCCCAGUUUUAGCUAUAAUUGAAAAUUAUUCUUAGGGACGAAAAUGCCAUUGAAUAAUUCUGCCUUUUCUC
rnacentral:lncRNA from 10 species